ACACACACACGCACACACACACACAUAUGUAUGUGUGUGUGUUUGUGUGUAUAU
rnacentral:miRNA from 1 species